UUGUCGCCAGAAGAAAAAUGGCGGAUCUGGAGGAGCAGUUGUCUGAUGAAGAGAAGGUGCGCAUAGCAGCCAAGUUCAUCAUUCAUGCUCCUCCUGGAGAAUUUAAUGAAGUGUUUAAUGAUGUUCGGUUACUACUUCAUAAUGAUAAUCUUCUCAAGGAAGGAGCAGCCCAUGUAUUUGCACAAUAUAACUUGGACCAGUUUACCCCAGUAAAAAUUGAAGGUUAUGAAGAUCAGGUACUGAUAACAGAACAUGGUGACUUGGGAAAUGGAAAGUUUUUGGAUCUGAAAAACAGAAUCUCUUUCAAAUUUGAUCACUUAAGAAAGGAAGCAACUGAUCCAAGACCAUAUGAAGCAGAAAGUGCAAUUGAAUCACGGAGAACUUCAGUAGAAACUGCUCUACGAGCUUAUGUAAAAGAACAUUAUCCGAAUGGAGUCUGCACUGUAUAUGGUAAAAAAAUAUAGAUGGACAGCAAACCAUUAUUGCAUGCAUAGAAAGCCAUCAGUUUCAAGCAAAAAACUUUUGGAAUGGUCGUUGGAGGUCAGAGUGCAAGUUUACAAUCACUCCUUCAACCACUCAGGUGGUUGGCAUCUUGAAAAUUCAGGUUCAUUAUUAUGAAGAUGGUAAUGUUCAACUAGUGAGUCAUAAAGAUAUACAAGAUUCCCUAACAGUGUCUAAUGAGGUGCAAACAGCAAAAGAAUUUAUAAAGAUUGUAGAGGCUGCAGAAAAUGAAUACCAGACUGCCAUCAGUGAGAAUUACCAGACGAUGUCAGACAUUACUUUCAAAGCCUUACGUCGGCAGUUGCCAGUUACACGCACUAAGAUUGACUGGAACAAGAUCCUUAGUUACAAGAUUGGAAAAGAGAUGCAGAAUGCAUAAGAUGAACAUUGCAUGACCGGAUCAUUUUAGUGUCUUUGCUUU